GAAGUAUUAUAGUGUGGUUAAUAACACUCAAGAAGAGCCAUGACGCCCUUAUUAACUCACUUGAUUCCUUCCGAUUGUACUGGUGGAUCCAUUUAAAGUGAUGGAGGACAAUUUUCACUUGCUUUCGUCAAGCAGGGACUCGCCUGCAUUUUCAGAUAUUUGCCCACUCAUUGAUAAAGCAGGAUUCCUGUGCCUUUUAUCCGAGGGAAGAAUUGAGGCAGCUCUCAGUCUUCGGGUCUAUAAUCCUGGGGAGGAGUUCCCGUCGUGGCUCAGUGGUUAACGAAUCUGACUAGGAACCAUGAGGUUGUGGAUUCGAUCCCUGGCAUCGAUCAGCUGCUUAAGGAUCUGGUGUUGCCAUGAGCUGUGAUGUAGGCUGGCAGCCGUAGCUCUGAUUCUACCCCUAGCCUGGGAACUUCCAUAUGCUGCGUGUGCAGACCUAAAAAAAAGGAAAAAAUAAAUAAAUAAAAAAUAAAAUCCUGGGAGAGUUGCAGGGACCAGGAAAGCAGUGCUAUGGAUACCAAGCUGGAUGGAGACAGUAGCCUCACGCUGACUCCUGUGCCUGGCGUGGCUCAAGCCAGCUGUGCUGCUCCCACCAGCUUCUUCCUGGUCUCCUCCACGGCUCUGUGCCUGUAUCACAGUGGGUGCUGAGGGGUUUGUUGCAGCUCCAGAGGUCCUUGGGUCCCCUCUGUGGUGCAGCUCUUCUCCGUCAUCCCUUUUUUACACACUUUCCAGGCUGCCACAGUCACUCCCUACACCACAGCCACAGCAACACCAGAUCCAAGCCGCGUCUGCAACUUACACCACAGCUCACGGCAAUGCUUGAUCCUUAACCCACUGAGGGAGGCCAGGGAUUGAACCCACAUCCUCAUGGAUCCUAGUUGGGUUUGUUACCUCUGAGUCAUGAUGGGAACUCCACUAUUUAUCUUCUAUUCAAAUGUCGUACUUGCCUCAAUGGGAUUUCUGGUGAAUGGAAUUCUCUUUCUUACACCAAUAAGAGAUGUCAACUCUAGUCUCAAAAGAGGGAGCCAGACAACACCCUCAAAAUGUGUCCACUCUGUGGGCCCUUCCUCUGCUCGUGCCUGCUUCCCUUAAGGUCCCCUCUUCCCUGUCCUCACACCUCGCCACCUCCCCACUGUCCCCCUGGCUAGUCUCUUAUCUAUUGUUAGAGAAAUGGGCAAGGGUGUGAAGGACCCAGGUUUGGGUCCCCAGCCAUGUGACCUCAAAACCCAGCCUCUCCUAAAAUCAGUGGAAGAGGGUUGUGCCACAAGCAGGUUCUCUGCCCCAAUCAAGUGCCCCCGGGUAGGAUUCUAUAUGUCCCAUUUGCCAUGCUGCUCACCUGUUCUCACUUUCCUGUUGUUUCUUCUGGGAUGCUGUGUAGCUGUGGGAACUAUCUCCCUAUGCGGGGGCUAUGCUGUGGCUGCACGUCUGUGGGAGUCUCUCUACUCAGGGGGAGAGGCUGCCUAUUGGGGAAAGAACUGAUCAUCCAGAUUACAGCCCGAUGAUCAAAGCUUGAUGCUCCUGGCUCCUUGAGGCCAUGAUCUGGAUGCUCAGAUUCAGGCUGCCUGCUCUGGGCCCACACUUUAGGGGUCCCCACCUGGGUGUUGCUCUAGCUGUGUCCUGCUGCUGGAGGACAGGACUCCUUGGGGCCAAAGGCCUGUGACUCCUCCCCCACCGGCACCCCAAGCUCGUCCCCCCUCCCGUGACUGUGCAUGGGGGCCGCAGUGCCGGCUGGAGUGGGGGUGGGGAGAGGUGGGGAGUGGGAUGCAGGCCACGGGACCUUCUUUCUGCUCUUCCUCCUGAGCCCCACAACGUUAGGAACCACCUGACCGUUCCGUUUUUACUUUUUUCUGGACAAAAGCUUCUGCCCCUGAACACAAGAAGAGACCCCUCCAGCCCCUGAUUCGGAACGAAAUGUAAAUCAGGGCAGGUCCGUCCUCCUAACUCAAAAGCUUUUGGAAACUUUCCAACACAACCUAGCGUGCAAUCCAAGGGCCCAAAGACUCCACCCAAUCCUGCCCCUGAGCUUCGGUGUUUGGGGAACCGGCUGCUGUUUUCCAAGACCUAUGCCCUGGGGAGUGGGGGUGGGGGUUGGGGACAUCACGGAGAGAGAGGCCCCAGGGCUCCAUGGGGUCAGCCUGCCUCUCCCUCCCUGGUCCCACUGCUCCCCCACACCCCACACCCCUGCCCCGAAGGCACUGUGGACCUUUCUGCAACACCCAGCCGCAUCCCCGCUUCGGCUAGGUUGUUCUUGUAAUUUCCUCUUGUGGGAGCACAUUUCCCGUAGAGCCUCUUGUUCCCAUAGAGCCUCUUUUUCCCGUAGAGCCUCAUGUUGUUCACACCUCUGCCGGUUUCUUCUGCAGUCGUCUUAUCUGCGAUGUCUUCCCUGACCCUGUCACCACAUGGUGACCAACCCCCUUUUCCCCCUCGAGCUUUGUUUUCUUUCCCAUUCCAAGUUAUCUUAUAAAUAUUUUUGUUCUCGGGACCUAGCCCUGUGCCUGGACAUAGAAAGUUUCAGAUAAGUACUUGUCGAAUGAAUGAAUGAAUGGGUCCCAGUCAUCAUGUUUCUUUAUCACCUUCAGAAUGUUUUGCUACCAGAGUUCCCGUCGUGGCACAUCAGAAACAAAUCCGACUAGGAUCCAUGUGGUUGUGGGUCCGAUCCCUGGCCUCGCUCAGUGGGUCGAGGAUCCAGCAUUGCCAUGAGUUGUGGUGUAGGUCACAGACACUGCUUGGGUCUGGCAUUGCUGUGGCUGUGGUGUAGGCUGGCAGCUGUAGCUCCGAUUAGACCCCUAGCCUGGGAACCUCCAUAUGCCGUGGGUGCAACCCUAAAAAGACGGUAAAACAAAACAAAACAAAACAAGGAUGUUUUGCUACAUAAACAGAGAUCUUUUCUGAACAUCUUUUUACAGAUACCUUUGCAACUUUUUUUUUUUUUGGCUUUCUUUUAUUCUUGCUUCUACACCUGCAGCAUAUGGAUGUUUCCAGGGUAUGGGUUGAAUUGGAGCUACAGCUGCUGGCCACAGUCUCAGCCACAGCAACGCGGGAUCCGAUUCAUGUCUUACACCACAGCUCACGGCAACACUGGAUCCUUAACCCACUGAAGGAGGCUAGGGGUUGAAUGCGCAUCCUCAUGAAUAUUAGUUGGGUCUGUAACCCGUUGAGCCACAAUGAGAACUCCAUACCUUUGCGACUUUUGGGAAAUUAAACGUCCACUGUGGAUAGAGUAACUGAUCCCUGGUUUCCCAGGUUACUGCACAGCCUCAGAUGGACAGCGUCUGUCUGCAGUCAGCCUUCGUUUAUCACUGGAUGCCAAAUCCUACUCCAGCCUGCCAUGAAGAUGGCCAGACCUUCCACUUUCCUCUGCUUGGACCUGUGGAAGGAACACUGAGAGGCAGGGCAUGAGAUAGCCUCCCGUUUCUCAUUUUGGACCCCACCCCCACCCCGGCAGUUAUCAGGCUUGAGCAAUUGCUUACAUGCUGCAAACUGCCUUUGUUGACUUUUGCACCGGGGAGUUUUCCAUCCUGAGCUGGAUGAUGCCAUCCGUGCAUGUCCACUACCCAGAUGGCUGAGAACAAGUGCCCAGCUCUCAGGAUCUUGAGGAAUAAUAACAUGGUGGUUUCAAACCACUGUAUUUGGAGACAGUUUUUCAUCCACAACAUAUAAUAGAAACAGUCCCAAUGCUUGUUUGUGCAUAACUCUUGUCUGCAUUUCCUGACUAGGAAAAAAAUGUUGCCAGGGGCUUGACCCACCCCUGACCACCUGCAAGAAGAGCUUGCUUCUCCUUUGGGUAGGGGACAUGGAUUUGGCUAGGUGUAUCAGUCUUAGGUUCACCUGCAUAAAAUGGAAAAUACAAGACCUCAGUAGCUGAAACAAGAUAAGUGUUUUCCUCUCUUGAGAUGGAAUCUGAAGGAGUUCCCAUCCUGGCUCAGUGGUUAAUGAACCCAUCUAGGAACCAUAAGGUUGCAGGUUUGAUCCCUGGGCUCGCUCAGUGGGUUAAAGAUCCAGUGUUGCGGUGAGCUGUGGUGUGAGUUGCAGGCGCAAUGUGAGAGCCUUAACCCACUGAGCACUGAUUCAGGGAUCAGACCCGAAUCCUCAUGGACACUAGUCAGGUUCUUAACCCCCUGAGCCACAAUGGAAACUCCACAAAUAACAGUUUUUGCUUCUUGCUUUUCUUACCCUGUUAAGGGGCAAAGGUGGGGCUCACAGGCCUGAGUUCUAUAGCCGUUGGUCACCUGAAAAAUUGGGACAAUUCGAGGAGAAGGUGGGCCUUCCGGUGGCGAGAGCAGAUUAUUAAGGCAGAUUAUUACCAAAACUAACUACACACACUCAUGAAGGGAAUUGCCAGGGGCCCCUGUUAAGCCUGGGGUCAUCAACCCGAAUCCAUCAAGAUGAAGGGAAGGGGCUCUACCCAUGCGGUUUUGGGAGCUGGGGGACAGGGGACAGGGGGCUGGAGGCUGCUGCUGGCCAGACUAUGAGCUGUUGAGAAGGCCAAGGACCGCCCCAUCUUCAGGGACAUGUCUGGCUGCUGAUGGCCAGCCUAUAGGACAACCCCCCUUCCUGGAGCCACCAGGACCAUCAGCUUCCCAGAGGAACAGGGCCAGACCCCCAGGGGAAGACAACCUCCCUCUCUUUGCGGUGGAUUAUUUCGGGCAACAUGAGGUGUCUGAGAACGGAGAUUUAAUUUAAAUGCCAACUUCUCUUGCUAGAAAGACUGAGUCUUGUGGGUGAGUGAAGGGCAGGAGUGAACAUGUUUGCUGAGUUGUUGGAUCCAGCCAGGGAUCAAAUCGGAGCCACAGCUGCGACCCAAGCCACUGUGGAGACAAUGCCAGAUCCUUAACCUGAUGCACCAUCGUGGGAACUACAAAUGGUGCUUUUGUGUUAUAUGCCUUAAAUCAUGUGUUGUGGACUGAAUUGUGUCCUGCAAAAAAAAAAGAUACAUGUAAGUCCUGACCCCCAAUAACUCAGGAUGUGACCUUAUCUGGAGACAGGGUCUGAUAAAGUUAAUCGAGUUAAAAUGAGGUCAUUGAGAGGGGCCCUAAUGUGGAGUUCCCUUUGUGGCUCAUUGGAAACGAACCCAACUCAUAUCCAUGAGGAUGUGAGUUUGUUCCCUGGCCUUGCUCAGUGGGUCGGGGAUCUGGCAUUGCUGGUGAGCUGUAGUGUGGGUCGCAGAUGCGGUUCAGAUCCUGCUUUGCUGUUGCUGUGGCUGUAGCUCCAAUUUGAUCCCUAGCCUGGGAACUUCCAUAUGCCUUGGAUGUGGCCCUAAAAGGCAAAAUAAAAUAAAAUAAAAUAAAAUAAAA
rnacentral:lncRNA from 1 species